rnacentral:rRNA from 1 species
GACGAACGCUGGCGGCGUGCUUAACACAUGCAAGUCGAACGGUAAGGCCCUUCGGGGUACACGAGUGGCGAACGGGUGAGUAACACGUGGGUGAUCUGCCCUGCACUUCGGGAUAAGCCUGGGAAACUGGGUCUAAUACCGGAUAGGACCACUGCCUGCAUGGGUGGUGGUGGAAAGCUUUUGCGGUGUGGGAUGGGCCCGCGGCCUAUCAGCUUGUUGGUGGGGUGAUGGCCUACCAAGGCGACGACGGGUAGCCGGCCUGAGAGGGUGACCGGCCACACUGGGACUGCGCUACGGCCCAGACUCCUACGGGAGGCAGCAGUGGGGAAUAUUGCACAAUGGGCGCAAGCCUGAUGCAGCGACGCCGCGUGAGGGAUGACGGCCUUCGGGUUGUAAACCUCUUUUAGCAGGGAAGAAGCGAAAGUGACGGUACCUGCAGAAAAAGCACCGGCUAACUACGUGCCAGCCGCCGCAGUAA